rnacentral:rRNA from 1 species
GGGUACACACGCGAAGUUUCGGGCUUCGGCUCGACUCUCCCACCCUUUUGUGAACGUACCUCUGCUUGCUUUGGCGGCUCCGGCCGCCAAAGGACCUCCAAACUCCAGUCAGUAAACGCAGACGUCUGAUAAACAAGUUAAUAAACUAAAACUUUCAACAACGGAUCUCUUGGUUCUGGCAUCGAUGAAGAACGCAGCA